rnacentral:rRNA from 1 species
GUCCACGCCGUAACGAUGGGUGCUAGGUGUAGGGGUGUCGACUCCCUCUGUGCCGAAGCUAACGCAUUAAGCACCCCGCCUGGGGAGUACGGCCGCAAGGCUAAACUCAAAGGAAUUGACGGGGCCCGCACAAGCAGCGGAGCAUGUGGUUUAAUUCGACGCGACGCGAAGAACCUUACCUGGGCUUGACAUGCACGGGAAUGUCGUAGAAAUACGGCAGCCCUUCGGGGCUCGUGCACAGGUGUUGCAUGGCUGUCGU